UUUCCGUAGGUGAACCUGCGGAAGGAUCAUUAUUGUAUAACCGAGGUGCGAGGGCUGUCGCUGACCCGAAAGGUCGUGCACGCCCGAGUGCCCUCACACACAUCCAUCUCACCCCUAUGUGCACCACCGCGUGGGUCCCUCUUUGGCUUGUUCGGAGGGGGGCUUACGUUUUCACACAAACUUUGUAUGCAGUGUAGAAUGUAUUUUUGUUUUUGCGAUCACGCAAUCAAUACAACUUUCAACAACGGAUCUCUUGGCUCUC
rnacentral:misc_RNA from 1 species